rnacentral:rRNA from 1 species
CCUACGGGCGGCUGCAGUGGGGAAUAUUGCACAAUGGGCGCAAGCCUGAUGCAGCCAUGCCGCGUGUGUGAAGAAGGCCUUCGGGUUGUAAAGCACUUUCAGCGGGGAGGAAGGCGUUAAGGUUAAUAACCUUGGCGAUUGACGUUACCCGCAGAAGAAGCACCGGCUAACUCCGUGCCAGCAGCCGCGGUAAUACGGAGGGUGCAAGCGUUAAUCGGAAUUACUGGGCGUAAAGCGCACGCAGGCGGUCUGUCAAGUCGGAUGUGAAAUCCCCGGGCUCAACCUGGGAACUGCAUUCGAAACUGGCAGGCUAGAGUCUUGUAGAGGGGGGUAGAAUUCCAGGUGUAGCGGUGAAAUGCGUAGAGAUCUGGAGGAAUACCGGUGGCGAAGGCGGCCCCCUGGACAAAGACUGACGUUCAGGUGCGAAAGCGUGGGGAGCAAACAGGAUUAGAUACCCGAGUAGUC